rnacentral:rRNA from 1 species
AACGUAGGUGGCGAGCGUUAUCCGGAUUUACUGGGCGUAAAGCGUGCGCAGGCGGUCUGUUAAGACCGAUGUGAAAUCCCCGGGCUUAACCUGGGAACUGCAUUGGUGACUGGCAGGCUUUGAGUGUGGCAGAGGGAGGUAGAAUUCCACGUGUAGCAGUGAAAUGCGUAGAGAUGUGGAGGAAUACCGAUGGCGAAGGCAGCCUCCUGGGCCAACACUGACGCUCAUGCACGAAAGCGUGGGGAGCAAACAGG